GAAUGCACAACAGACCAACUAGGUCAACAGAUACGGAUGCGGAUGGAACCACCCUACUCCUACUCAGGAUAUUAAGCAUGUAAACAACGAGUAGGGUAUAAUCACACAACGUAGGUGUAAUGUAAUCAAUAGAGGUGCAAAGCUCAACAUAUAACAUAUGCAUGGAUAAUAACAAAGGAGCAAGGGUAAGAAACCAUCACCGAGCGUGCACCACUGUACCGACGUCGGAUCGAAGUACCCACCUGUACAACUGUCGCGCCUGUCUCCUGACUGCAAAAGAACGUCAACAGGACCUAAGGAGGGUCCACUGGGUUAGUGUCUAACCCAUAGCUAAAAAAACCCUAAAAGCAUAAACCCACAAAUAAACCCACGAGAAUCGGUUUCCCAAACCGAUCGUCGUAAUACGCCGGAAGUCCCGAAAACCACACCGGGACGCCGUCGGGACCCACUAAGUGUCCCGAAACUCACCGACUCUUGUCACGAGUCACCUACUGCCCUAAAACACUCCAAUUUGGAUGUUUUGGCAGCAAACACAAGAUAACACCACUACACAAUUAUCGCCGGAUAAUUGUACGAACACGGGUUCCCGGAAGUGUCAAAUUCGACACCGGAACCCACCGUCGCUCACCCGUCAUCACCGAACCCACAAAGUGAUGAUGGUGACCAGCCAACAAGGCUUAGCGACCACUCACAGAGCAACCAAACGACGUCGGAAGAAAUCCGAACAGAAACCGCGUUCUUUCGGCGAAUUUCGCCGAAAAACGCAUCGAAAUCGACUCUUCGAUUUCUGCAAAAGCUAACGGAUCAUGGACAAUCAGUCCAGAGGACACCACACAU
rnacentral:lncRNA from 1 species